UACGGAGGAUCCGAGCGUUAUCCGGAUUUAUUGGGUUUAAAGGGUGCGCAGGCGGAAGAUUAAGUCGGUGGUGAAAUUUUGCAGCUCAACUGUAAAAGUGCCAUUGAUACUGGUUUUCUUGAGUGUGGAUGAAGUAGGCGGAAUUUGUGGUGUAGCGGUGAAACGCUUAGAUAUCACGGGGAACUCCGAUUGCGCAGGCAGCUUACUAAACCAUAACUGACGCUCAGGCACGAAAGCGUGGGGAUCAAACAGGAUUAGAUACCCCGGUAGUCCCU
rnacentral:rRNA from 1 species